GAUGAACGCUGGCGGCGUGCCUAAUACAUGCAAGUCGAGCGAACAGACGAGGAGCUUGCUCCUCUGACGUUAGCGGCGGACGGGUGAGUAACACGUGGAUAACCUACCUAUAAGACUGGGAUAUCUUCGGGAAACCGGAGCUAAUACCGGAUAAUAUAUUGAACCGCAUGGUUCAAUAGUGAAAGACGGUUUUGCUGUCACUUAUAGAUGGAUCCGCGCCGCAUUAGCUAGUUGGUAAGGUAACGGCUUACCAAGGCAACGAUGCGUAGCCGACCUGAGAGGGUGAUCGGCCACACUGGAACUGAGACACGGUCCAGACUCCUACGGGAGGCAGCAGUAGGGAAUCUUCCGCAAUGGGCGAAAGCUUGACGGAGCAACGCCGCGUGAGUGAUGAAGGUCUUCGGAUCGUAAAACUCUGUUAUUAGGGAAGAACAAAUGUGUAAGUAACUAUGCACGUCUUGACGGUACCUAAUCAGAAAGCCACGGCUAACUACGUG
rnacentral:rRNA from 1 species